GUGGGGGUGUUUUUCAUUAUAAGUGCCACGUUUUUACACUUUUAUACUUUUGGUGACAACAUUUUGGACGGUUAUUUUUAAUCAUUACACAAUAUAUAACUCCCAUAAACCACAUGUUCCUCCUUGAGUACUCAAAAAUCUGUAGGGUUAGCUCUCAAUUCAUGCAAAAAUCUGGUUACUGUCUUCACAAUUGCUUCAUUGUUCUUUGGCUGACUUGAGGAAACAACAGCUUUUGCAAUUGAAGCACGCCCUCUUCGACUCUAUUUAGAAAUUUUACAGUCAAUAAUUAUAUUUUAAUAAAUUAUUCAUUUUUAAUGAAAAUUUAUUUUUUGAAUACUUUAAAAUAACAAAUUAUUUAUUUAUUUUUAUGCAAAAUAAAAUUCAUAUAUAAAAUUAAUAGAAUCAAUUUAAUGUAAUAUUUUUUUUCAAUUGAUAAUUUAAUCAAUUAUUUUAAUAUUAGUUGAGGUCUUUUAUUAAGUACUAUGUUUCACCGUUGAGCUAUCAUUAAAUUAUUCAUUGAAAAUAUACUAAAUUAUUCAUUGAAAAUAUUAAGAUAAUACUUGUGUUCAUUAUAGUAUAUAUUUAUGUAUUGGAAUAAAAUCUUUAACCUCGUACCAAACUUUAGAAUAUACAUUUUCUAAUUAUUGACCAUAUGCUUCCAAAAAAAUGUGUUUAAAUGAUUUAAAUAUUUACACCGAAUCACCAAUAGUUAGGAGUAGAAAUAGGCCGAACCGAAUUAGACUUUGUUAAGGUUGAGUCUGACCUGUCAAAAAAUUCAAGGUCUGGCCUAUGAUCUAUCAUAGACUUACUUUUUAGAAAUGAAUAUGACUUUGAUAGAAAGUCUAAUAUGACGUGUUAACCUAUUCAAAAACCUAUUUCAUUUUAACAUUUUUGAAUAAGUAAUCAAACAUAUCUUUAAAUAGAUUAACGAGUUAACAUUUCAAUGAAAUUAAGUUCUAUUUUGAUAUUUAACAUUUUGAAGAAUAUGACUUUAUAUACAUUCUACUUAAAUUAUUAUAUUUUAUAAUGAUACAUUUAAAUAUAUCAAAAAUUAAAUAAAGUUAAUAUGCGUAAAUUACUAAAAGUUUAACAUAUAUAACAAAAAAUCAAAAUUUAAUAUUAUAAUUAUAGUACUAAAAAAUAUUAUUUGUAUUUAUUUAAAUAGGCCUAAAAGGCUUAUCAUGUAGCCUAUAAUAUGACAUUUUUAACUACAUAGAUAUUUUUAAAAAGCCUUGGUCUUAUCUGUUUAAAAAAAAAAAAAAUCUAGUCUGACUUGAGCCUAACGUAGACUAGACCGUAGACCCCUAUCGGUCGACCUGGUCUAUUCCCAUACCUAGCGGUAGUAGUGAAAUAAGAAGCUAACAUAUCAUUAUCAGAAAAGUGAAAUUAAUUAGAGACAUAAAAAAUAAAAAUAUAAAAUUUGUCUCUAAUUGUAUUUUUAAGAGCUGAGAUACAAAAAUUGAAUUCUUUUUCCUUUAAUUUCUUUUAUUGUAUUUUAACACGAGUUUAAUUACUAUACUCGUCAAUAUAAAAAGUUUUACAUGUCAUUGCAUUACAACUAUUUAUAGUGAUAAUUUUAGAAAUAAUUUUAAUAAAAAUUACCUUUAUAAUGAUCUAACGAUUGUAAUUGAUAAAAAAUAUAAAAAAAAGUAUAUAAAUUAAAUAUUUAUAAUACACCUUGUGGGUUACUCUUAGAUGGGAUAUGAUAAUAAAAAGUUACCUUUCGCCACUUUAGAAUUGAGUUAUCAUCG
rnacentral:lncRNA from 1 species